GGGGCGGGCCGGCGUGUCCACCGUCAGGUGCGACGCGUCGACCGCUCCAUCCUCGCGGCGAAGGCGCGGGCCUUAACUGGUUCGUGUCCGGAGCCGCGUCCUUUACUGUGAAAAAAUUAGAGUGUUUAAAGCAGGCUUUCCGCUUGAAUACAUUAGCAUGGAAUAAUGAGAUAGGACUUCGGUGCUAUUUUGUUGGUUGCGUACCGAGGUA
rnacentral:rRNA from 1 species